GUGAAACCUGACUGUUGGGGAAAGGCUGUAGCCCAGUGGCAGAGCACCUGCUUUGCAUGCAGAAAGCCCCAGGUUCAAUCCCCAACGGCAUAUCCAGAGAACAACCAACCAACAAAGAACUAUGUGGUCAUGCUGCUGCAGGAACCCAGUGAGUUUGUCGGUGGGAUGUUUAAAUUGAGGAAGAAAUAAAUAUUUUCCCAAGACUGAACGUUGAGAUGCAAAGUGUUGGCAGAACAUCACUAAAAACACAACCACAGGCAACAGUAUCCACGGCAAUCAGCUGCAUGUGAAGGCACGUUUGCCAAGAUGUUGAGUUCAGGACUGGUGGCAUGACGGCUGUGUAUUUCUCCAUGGGCAUGCUUCCCCUUUAAGGCCAGGACUGCGCUGUCUUUAUUUGCUUGUUGAAACUGUUCAGUUUUAGGACAUGGGGGGAGAUCACACCUGUUGUGGAACUUGAUAGAAGGCUUAUUUAUAAACUUUCGGAGCUUGAGAUUCUUGCAGAGCUGAAAAUGCUGAUGUCCGGAGGGG